rnacentral:rRNA from 1 species
UACGUAGGGUGCGAGCGUUGUCCGGAAUUAUUGGGCGUAAAGAGCUCGUAGGCGGUCUGUCGCGUCGAUCGUGAAAACUUGGGGCUUAACCCUGAGCUUGCGGUCGAUACGGGCAUGACUGGAGUUCGGCAGGGGAGACUGGAAUUCCUGGUGUAGCGGUGAAAUGCGCAGAUAUCAGGAGGAACACCGGUGGCGAAGGCGGUUCUCUGGGAAUGUCCUGACGCUGAGGAGCGAAAGUGUGGGGAGCGAACAGG